rnacentral:rRNA from 1 species
UUCCGUAGGUGAACCUGCGGAAGGAUCAUUACCUUUCAAUGCAGAAGAGUUGAGAUGGUUGAGUAUCUCGCCUCUCAAUUCUCGCUGUAUUUUACCCUUGUUUUUCUCAUACUAUUAUUUCCUCGGCAGGCUCGCCUGCCGGGUGAAACAACUUCAAACCUGUUUAAUUUUCAAUCAGCGUCUGAACAAAUUAAUAAUUACAACUUUCAACAACGGAUCUCUUGGUUCUGGCAUCGAUGAAGAACGCAGCGAAAUGCGAUAAGUAGUGUGAAUUGCAGAAUUCAGUGAAUCAUCGAAUCUUUGAACGCACAUUGCGCCCCUUGGUAUUCCAUGGGGCAUGCCUGUUCGAGCGUCAUUUGUACCUUCAAGCUCUGCUUGGUGUUGGGUGUUUGUCCUUGCUCUAGUGGCGGGACUCGCCUCAAAGUAAUUGGCAGCCAGUGUUUUGGUUUUGAAGCGCAGCACAAGUCGCGAUUCAAGUCUAUACGCUAGUUUCCACAAGUCUUUUAUCACUUUUGACCUCGGAUCAGGUAGGGAUACCCGCUGAAC